GUGACCUCAAAUCAGGUAGGACUACCCGCUGAACUUAAGCAUAUCAAUAAGCGGAGGAAAAGAAACUAACAAGGAUUCCCCUAGUAACUGCGAGUGAAGCGGGAAAAGCUCAAAUUUAAAAUCUGGCGGCCUUUUUGCUGUCCGAGUUGUAAUCUAGAGAAGUGUUAUCCGCGCUGGACCGUGUACAAGUCUCCUGGAAUGGAGCAUCAUAGAGGGUGAGAAUCCCGUCUUUGACAUGGACUACCAGGGCUUUGUGAUGCGCUCUCAAAGAGUC
rnacentral:rRNA from 1 species